rfam:Stegodyphus mimosarum contig3768, whole genome shotgun sequence.
GUCUUCGUGGUGUAGUGAUCAGCACCUUCGACGCGUAACCGAGAGGUCCGUGGUUCGAUUCCCGGCGAAGGCG